UACAGAGGUCUCGAGCGUUGUUCGGAUUCAUUGGGCGUAAAGGGUGCGUAGGUGGCGCUGUAGGUCGGGUGUGAAAUCCUGAGGCUUAACCUCGGAACUGCAUUCGAUACUGCGGCGCUUGAGGACUGGAGAGGAGACUGGAAUUCAUGGUGUAGCAGUGAAAUGCGUAGAGAUCAUGAGGAAGACCAGUGGCGAAGGCGGGUCUCUGGACAGUUCCUGACACUGAGGCACGAAGGCCAGGGGAGCAAACGGG
rnacentral:rRNA from 1 species